GAUCACAAUGAUGACUGGGUAAAAUUCAAGCUCAAUAGACCGGAAUGCUGGGCUUUCUCUUACAAGAAAUUUUUGCAUGUCGAAUACCCGUUGAACUGAGUGAUC